rnacentral:piRNA from 1 species
UGGGAUUAUGAUGGAUUCUGCACCAUC